GGUGCUAUAGCCAAGUGGUUACGGCGACAGAUUAGAACUGGCUCUAUGUAAACUGCUUAGUCAUCUGUUCCUCUUUGAGGGCGUAGGUUCGAAUCCUGCUAGCAUCG